rnacentral:lncRNA from 1 species
CCCAGCGCCGAGCGCGCCCGCCGGGGGCUCGGCUCCGAGUGACGCUGGGGCCCCGCGCCCCGGGCCUAGGCGCCCUCGCCCGGAGCGACCCCGCGGGACCCGCCCCCCGCCCCGUGACCCCGCCCCCUCCGCGGGGCGCCCGAGCGCCUCUUGGGCCUGAGCCUUCCGCGCCCAGCCCUUUCCCUCUGCCCCUUCCCACACCCCGACCCACCCCAGGCCUCGCCUGGAAGCAGAGAAUUUCAGGAAUCUCAGAAACCUCAGAACACAGACAGCUCUACGGAGCGCCUACUGCGCGCCGAGCUCUGCGCAAGGCCCCGCGGGGACUUGGAGGCCCUGGCGACAGAUGGAGCCUGUGAGUGAGGGUGAAUGAGAAAGAGAAAGCAAACGAGAGAGUUUGCUCCCCUGAAAUCCUGGCCAGCGGUCAUGGCUUUGGCUGCGGAAUUUCUCUGAGGGAGAGUGAUGGAAAGCCCAGAGAUUACCGAGCAUCUGAGAGGAGUCAGACAUGGACAUCGUGCCACACUUUGCACCGUGGAAAACGGCAGAGAAAUCUAUAAGCUUGGCUUUCGGAGAAUAGGUCCCGGAGGUGGGAUAAAGUGGCUCCGUGCACCUGCAGCUCAGCUGGGUGCCUCCGGGGGAAUCGCGCCACCUCAAGCAAGACAAGACCCACUUGCCAGGAGUCUGGGGGCAGAGAGCUGGGGAAGGAGCCCGCCUGGAAUCUCACUUGCUGGGAGUCUGUGGCCUGUAGUGGCUAUGGAUUCUCCGUCAGCAUCUGCAGUCCUCUACCCCAUGUCCGAGGCAGCCUGGAUCUCCCAGUGGGCAAAUCCCACCUCUCAAUGGGUCCAGGCCCACCGCAUCCUUGGGAGGCAUCUGGGUCUCACCGGUCCUGAGCUGCUGUCUUCUGGGACGACCGGGAAUCGGGCCCACUGGCCUGGGUCUUCUGCUAACAGGGCAGCUUCCAGCCCAAGCCUAACAGUUGCCAAUCCUGGGAGCUCUACCAGACACCCUCCUCCUCCUCCUGUCUCUGCUCUCUCCAGCUCCAUCCUGUGUCCCAUUCCCCCCCCUUCCCCACACCCAAGGCUUGGACCUUAUUCUUGA